rnacentral:rRNA from 1 species
GCAGACGGGUGAGUAACACGUGGGGAUCUACCCAAUGGUACGGAAUAACCCAGGGAAACUUGGAUUAAUACCGUAUGUGCCCUUCGGGGGAAAGAUUUAUCGCCAUUGGAUGAACCCGCGUCGGAUUAGCUAGUUGGUGAGGUAAAGGCUCACCAAGGCGACGAUCCGUAGCUGGUCUGAGAGGAUGAUCAGCCACACUGGGACUGAGACACGGCCCAGACUCCUACGGGAGGCAGCAGUGGGGAAUAUUGGACAAUGGGCGCAAGCCUGAUCCAGCCAUGCCGCGUGAGUGAUGAAGGCCUUAGGGUUGUAAAGCUCUUUCGCCGGUGAAGAUAAUGACGGUAACCGGAGAAGAAGCCCCGGCUAACUUCGUGCCAGCAGCCGCGGUAAUACGAAGGGGGCUAGCGUUGCUCGGAAUCACUGGGCGUAAAGCGCACGUAGGCGGAUCGUUAAGUCAGGGGUGAAAUCCUGGAGCUCAACUCCAGAACUGCCCUUGAUACUGGCGAUCUCGAGUUCGAGAGAGGUUGGUGGAACUCCGAGUGUAGAGGUG